GCAGGGAUAAUAGUGGGAUAAGAGGAACGUGUUAGAGAGACUGGUACAGGUAAAAGGGAAUGGGGGGAGAGAUUCCUAGAUGAGUCCUAUCGGACCCAAGGGAAAGCGUUCGAUGAUGAGUCAAGUAUCCAUUGCAAUUUUAUUACAGUAAUUUAAAAACAAUUACAGUGAAUCAAGGUUGUCAGUAUCAUGUCAACCUACG
rnacentral:lncRNA from 1 species